GGAUAAUGACGACUUCAUGUGAUAAGGUCUCGUUCGUCGUAAUGGUGUGAACCUUGCCGACCAUCCUGUUAUAUCACCACCCAUAAACUGAAUCC
rnacentral:snoRNA from 1 species